rnacentral:rRNA from 1 species
UACGUAGGGUGCUAACGUUGUUCGGAAUCACUGGGCAUAAAGAGCGCGUAGGCAGUCUGAUAAGUCAGGUGUGAAAUCCCCCGGCUCAACCGGGGAACUGCACCUGAUACUGUUGGGCUUGAGUGCAGGAGGGGAGAGCGGAAUUCCUGGUGGAGCGGUGAAAUGCGUAGAUAUCAGGAGGAAUACCGAUGGCGAAGGCAGGUCUCUGGGCUGACACUGACGCUCAUGCACGAAAGCGUGGGGAGCAAACAGG